rnacentral:lncRNA from 1 species
UAAAAAAUAAAAAAAAACAUAAAUGAACACGAAAGGCGCUACAAAAAUAAAGCCAAAUAAUUGGACGGAUGUCAUCACGUGAUCAAAAUUUCGAAAAUUUAAACGUUUUUACCGCCAAAAUUUAAACAAGGACAGGUAUAGACGAAGACAGCUAUCUGGCACAGCAUGCACAAGUUACUAAGUUUAUUCAACAAAUCGUUCCCGAAAUAUCAGUGCGAUGACCUAAAGUACACUCGGACACAAAAAAAAUCUUGGCAAUGGAAGGCUAAUCAUCAUCUCACUGAGUUAUAUUAUACUCUAUUCUACCACAAAACUAGUCCAAGAAAAAUAACCAAUUUAGGCUUAUUUUUGAAUUUUAUAAAGAAUUUUUGAACAAUUCACAAGGAAAAUAUAA